GGGUGAAGUUGAGAAGGAAAUUCAGACUCCUGUGAGAGCAGAAACGCAGAGAUCUGAACCUGUGCCGAAGGCCAAUGGUUCUGUCUAUAAAAAGAUCAGCGCCUUUGAUGAAAUCCAAAGUAUUGACAAGAGAGAACUUCUGGGCCAAGGCUGAGCAAGAAGAGGAGAAGCGGCGACAAGAG